AGGACGAACGCUGGCGGCGUGCCUAACACAUGCAAGUCGAGCGGGAAUUUACGAAUUGAAGCUUCGGCCGAUUUCGUAAAGGAUAGCGGCGGACGGGUGAGUAACGCGUGAGUAACCUGCCCUUAAGAGGGGGAUAACACACCGAAAGGUGUGCUAAUACCGCAUAAUGUGCAUUUAUCGCAUGGUAGAUGUACCAAAGAUUUAUCGCUUAAGGAUGGACUCGCGUCUGAUUAGAUAGUUGGUGAGGUAACGGCUCACCAAGUCGACGAUCAGUAGCCGAACUGAGAGGUUGAUCGGCCACAUUGGGACUGAGACACGGCCCAGACUCCUACGGGAGGCAGCAGUGGAGAAUAUUGCGCAAUGGGGGCAACCCUGACGCAGCAACGCCGCGUGAAGGAUGAAGGUCUUCGGAUCGUAAACUUUUGUCUUAUGGGAAGAACAAGGACGGUACCAUAGGAGGAAGCCACGGCUAACUACGUG
rnacentral:rRNA from 1 species